UUAUGGCUCAGGACGAACGCUGGCGGCGUGCUUCAUACAUGCAAGUCGAACGAGAAGCUGACUUCGGUCAGUGGAAAGUGGCGGACGGGUGAGUAAUAUGUAGAGAAUCUGCCCUUGAGUGGGGGACAACAGAGGGAAACUUCUGCUAAUACCCCAUAUGAGCUAACUUGAAAUAGUUAUCUUGAAAACUCCGGUGCUCAAGGAUGAGUCUGCAUCUGAUUAGCUAGUUGGCGGUGUAAUGGACCACCAAGGCGACGAUCAGUAGCUGGUUUGAGAGGAUGAUCAGCCACAAUGGGACUGAGACACGGCCCAUACUCCUACGGGAGGCAGCAGUAGGGAAUUUUGCGCAAUGGGCGAAAGCCCUGACGCAGCAACGCCGCGUGAACGAUUAAGCCCUUCGGGGUGUAAAGUUCUGUCAGUAGGGACGAAUUUUGACGGUACCUACAGAGGAAGCACCGGCUAACUCCGUGCCAGCCGCUGC
rnacentral:rRNA from 1 species